rnacentral:rRNA from 1 species
GACAGAGGGUGCAAACGUUGUUCGGAAUUACUGGGCGUAAAGAGCGUGUAGGCGGCAGCGUAAGUCGGGCGUGAAAGCCUUCGGCUCAACCGAAGAACGUCGGCCGAUACUGCCGUUCUUGAGGGAUGCGGAGGAGACUGGAAUUCCCGGUGUAGCGGUGAAAUGUGUAGAGAUCGGGAGGAACACCGGUGGCGAAGGCGGGUCUCUGGGCAUCUCCUGACGCUGAGGCGCGAAAGCGUGGGGAGCAAACGGG